rnacentral:rRNA from 1 species
UACGUAGGGACCAAGCGUUGUUCGGAUUUACUGGGCGUAAAGGGCGCGUAGGCGGCAAAUCAAGUCAGCUGUGAAAUCUCCGAGCUUAACUCGGAACGGUCAGCUGAUACUGUCUUGCUAGAGUACAGAAGGGGCAAUCGGAAUUCUUGGUGUAGCGGUGAAAUGCGUAGAUAUCAAGAGGAACACCUGAGGUGAAGACGGGUUGCUGGGCUGUUCUUGACGCUGGAGGCGCGAAAGCUAGGGGAGCAAACGGG